UGGGGAAUCUUGCGCAAUGGCCGAAAGGCUGACGCAGCGACGCCGCGUGCGGGAGGACGCCCUUCGGGGUGUAAACCGCUGUCAGGGGGGACGAAGGCCUUGAGGAGGCAAUGCCUCGAGGUUUGACGGUACCUCCAGAGGAAGCACCGGCUAACUCCGUG
rnacentral:rRNA from 1 species